UUGACAGCACUAGAAAUUGAAGUUCCUUUUUUAUCUACAGAACAGGUACAACAUGUACAGAGACACCAUACACCCAGGCUGCUGAUGUGUCUCAGGUCUGUCCUGGGCUUAACAACCUGGAAGGAAGAGGGAAUAAGCUGAUCCUCAUGGUCUUGUUGGACUGUGCCGUUG
ensembl:misc_RNA